GAUGAACGCUGGCGGCGUGCCUAAUACAUGCAAGUCGAGCGAACGGACGAGAAGCUUGCUUCUCUGAUGUUAGCGGCGGACGGGUGAGUAACACAUGGAUAACCUACCUAUAAGACUGGGAUAACUUCGGGAAACCGGAGCUAAUACCGGAUGAUAUUUUGAACCGCAUGGUUCAAAAGUGAAAGACGGUCUUGCUGUCACUUAUAGAUGGAUCCGCGCUGCAUUAGCUAGUUGGUAAGGUAACGGCUUACCAAGGCAACGAUGCAUAGCCGACCUGAGAGGGUGAUCGGCCACACUGGAACUGAGACACGGUCCAGACUCCUACGGGAGGCAGCAGUAGGGAAUCUUCCGCAAUGGGCGAAAGCCUGACGGAGCAACGCCGCGUGAGUGAUGAAGGUCUUCGGAUCGUAAAACUCUGUUAUUAGGGAAGAACAUAUGUGUAAGUAACUGUGCACAUCUUGACGGUACCUAAUCAGAAAGCCACGGCUAACUACGU
rnacentral:rRNA from 1 species